UACGUAGGGACCAAGCGUUGUCCGGAAUCAUUGGGCGUAAAGCGCGCGUAGGCGGCCCGGUAAGUCCGUUGUAAAAGUCAAAGGCUCAACCUUUGAAUGCCGAUGGAUACUGCCGGGCUAGAGUCCGGAAGAGGCGAGUAGAAUUCCUGGUGUAGCGGUGGAAUGCGCAGAUAUCAGGAGGAAUACCCAUAGCGAAGGCAGCUCUCUGGGACGGUACUGACGCUGAGACGCGAAAGCGUGGGGAGCGAACAGG
rnacentral:rRNA from 1 species